ACUGAAUGGCGCCAUUGCGCUUACAGCGAUUCCAAUGUCAGCUGCAGUUUAUACGUAAAGUUAUACCAUUUUACAAUACGUUUCGUUUGUUGGUGUCCAUUUUGUUCUUAAAUCAGAGAAACAGUUGCAUUUAUAGCAAUGACGUGGGUGGAAGCUCUUCCAACUAUCGGUGUUACCUUGGUACUUGGUCAUGGACUUGCAUUGAUGGCAUACCUCAUUCAAAGAAGAAAUUACAGAGGAGCUUUGGAUGGAAGGGUUGCAUAUACUUAUAAAGGGGAAUGGAUGGCCAUGGCAAGCAGAUUGAAGGAAAGAGAUGAUCGUUUAGGGCUUUACCCAGCAAAGGCUGUGUGGGUUCACCCUCUGUGGAGACCAAAAAGUUUUCAAGAAGGAGCUCUAAUCUAAAUGAAAUUUGUUGUUUCUUUGUUUUAAUAAAUAUCAUUGACAAGUGUAAAA